rnacentral:rRNA from 1 species
GUACUCCUACGGGGCGCAGCAGUGGGGAAUAUUGCACAAUGGGGGGAACCCUGAUGCAGCGACGCCGCGUGAGUGAGGAAGUAUUUCGGUAUGUAAAGCUCUAUCAGCAGGGAAGAAAAUGACGGUACCUGACUAAGAAGCUCCGGCUAAAUACGUGCCAGCAGCCGCGGUAAUACGUAUGGAGCAAGCGUUAUCCGGAUUUACUGGGUGUAAAGGGAGCGCAGACGGCAGGGCAAGUCUGAUGUGAAAGUCUGGGGCUCAACCCCGGGACUGCAUUGGAAACUGUCCGGCUAGAGUGCAGGAGG